GCAAGUCGAGCGAGAAAGCCCUUCGGGGUGAGUAGAGCGGCGGACGGGUGAGUAACGCGUAGGAAUCUACCUGGUAGUGGGGGACAACAUGUGGAAACGCAUGCUAAUACCGCAUACGCCCUACGGGGGAAAGCGGGGGACCUUAGGGCCUCGCGCUAUCAGAUGAGCCUGCGUUAGAUUAGCUAGUUGGUAGGGUAAAGGCCUACCAAGGCGACGAUCUUUAGCUGGUCUGAGAGGAUGAUC
rnacentral:rRNA from 1 species